rnacentral:rRNA from 1 species
AUUGAACGCUGGCGGCAGGCCUAACACAUGCAAGUCGAGCGGAUGAAGGGAGCUUGCUCCUGGAUUCAGCGGCGGACGGGUGAGUAAUGCCUAGGAAUCUGCCUGGUAGUGGGGGAUAACGUCCGGAAACGGGCGCUAAUACCGCAUACGUCCUGAGGGAGAAAGUGGGGGAUCUUCGGACCUCACGCUAUCAGAUGAGCCUAGGUCGGAUUAGCUAGCUGGUGGGGUAAAGGCCUACCAAGGCGACGAUCCGUAACUGGUCUGAGAGGAUGAUCAGUCACACUGGAACUGAGACACGGUCCAGACUCCUACGGGAGGCAGCAGUGGGGAAUAUUGGACAAUGGGCGAAAGCCUGAUCCAGCCAUGCCGCGUGUGUGAAGAAGGUCUUCGGAUUGUAAAGCACUUUAAGUUGGGAGGAAGGGCAGUAAGUUAAUACCUUGCGGUUUUGACGUUACCAACAGAAUAAGCACCGGCUAACUACGUG